UGACCUUCAGUGCAGAGGUCUGUUGGGUCUUCUUUGCCUUCUUACUCUGACUCUUGCUGCCAAGAUACCCUUUAUGUUUAUCCUUCCUCUCAGCCCUGAUGCACUUUGAUGCAAUCCUUAACCUCAGCCUGAUGUAUGUUGAGAGGAUUUUUUUUCUUCAGGUCAUGGCAUGAGGGAAGGUUGCUGUCCAGCAACAUGGCUUCUUGUUUCAGCUGUGACACUGCAUUUGAGGACUCCAUGAGGGAAUCGCUCGUCCUCGAUCCUGCACGUGAGCCCGGUCACAACUGGCCCUUGGCAGUCUGGUCCCUGGAGCACCUGACCCUGGCAAACUGGCCUCUUCAUAGCUGACCCCUGACUGACUGGCUCCUGGCACACUGAUCUCUAGUGUGGUCAUCAUUCCUGACAUUAACAGCUGGAGGCAUACUCCUUGACUGUUGUUGUCUCUCCUUCGCUCUACGUCCUUGGGGAAGCCAUACAUCCGGAACCCCUUCUCGGAUCGAUUAGAGCAUCCAAAUGCUGCACAUCCAACCAUGGGCCCAGGAAACAGAUGAAGAGAAUGUCCCUUUCACAAAGGAACCUUUUGGUUUUUUUCAAAAUGGUUAGGCUCCUGGAUGCCCUAGAGCAGGGGUGGGGAACCUCCGGCCCCCGGGCCGUAUAAGGCCCGCGAGACCAUUUGAGGUGUAGAUGUGGAAACUGCCAGACCAUGCCUACAGGCCGAGAAAACAAGUGCUGCCACAACUAUGGGAAAGUGAAGGAAGAGAUGGGAGAAGAAGUCUGCAUCACCGACUGUAGGACGUUCGACAUAAACUGUCUGGAUCGUGAUGUGCUGCGUGUGUCCCGGUAUGAGUACGCCCACCAUAAUGGGCCGUAUGGGGACGAAGAACCGGAACAUGAAGUCUACAGACAUCUGGCGUACCGGCGAUUUUGCUUCCUGAUUUGGCAAAAACUUGGCCGUGGGAAUAGACGUGUUAUUCCGAGUUGCGCUGUACUGGCCAUCAGGAAAGCAUUUCCUAAUCCUGAAAGGGUUGCCUACACAGGAUUUAAACCAGCCGUCAGUGAAUGAUAUUCUAUUGUCACAAUACUCUGGUUGUAUACAUGUUGUCGCUUACAGUAUUAACUAGGUGUACCUUAUGGUUAUGUCCAAAUUCUUAUUUCUUCUGUUUUUCAGACAAAACUAUAUUGUAUUUCAUUAGAUUUAAAAAAAUCUGUGUACGGUUUCAAUUAUCUAGAUGUUUAAAGUGAAUGUAACACGAAAUUCAGUAAAAAGAAAUUACAUGAAUUACUUUAAGGUACUUGUGUAUGGUUGUCUUAUUGUAUAAGAGUUGUGCAUAAAAUGAAGAAAAAACAUUAUGUGCAGUAUGGUCAAAAGUAUAAAAACAAACAAAAUAAUGUACAUAGUGUUUAAUUUAUUUCGGACAGCAGAAUUACACAAUUCAUGCAAAAACUCAAGGGAAAUGUGCCCUGAUUUUGUAAGGCUAAAUACACCAGUAUUAGUAGAUGUGUACAAAAAUAAUGUCGUGUACAUGAUAUAACAUAACAUGACAAUCCAAAUGUAAAACAGUAUCUUGAUAUCAGAAGACCAAAUUGAAUUAACUUGGUAAUUUUAUGUCUCCAUGAUUUUCUUUAACAUUUCGAAAUUCAGAACAGUACAUAUUU